rnacentral:rRNA from 1 species
AUUGAACGCUGGCGGAAUGCUUUACACAUGCAAGUCGAACGGCAGCACGGACUUCGGUCUGGUGGCGAGUGGCGAACGGGUGAGUAAUGUAUCGGAACGUGCCCAGUCGUGGGGGAUAACGUAGUGAAAAUUACGCUAAUACCGCAUACGAUCUAUGGAUGAAAGCGGGGGAUCGCAAGACCUCGCGCGAUUGGAGCGGCCGAUAUCAGAUUAGGUAGUUGGUGGGGUAGAGGCCCACCAAGCCAACGAUCUGUAGCUGGUCUGAGAGGACGACCAGCCACACUAGAACUGAGACACGGUCUAGACUCCUACGGGAGGCAGCAGUGGGGAAUUUUAGACAAUGGGCGAAAGCCUGAUCCAGCCAUUCCGCGUGCAGGAUGAAGGCCCUCGGGUUGUAAACUGCUUUUGUACAGAACGAAAAGGUUUCUACUAAUACUAGGAGCUCAUGACGGUACUGUAAGAAUAAGCACCGGCUAACUACGUGCCAGCCGCCGCGGUAA